CAGAGCAAAAUGAUAUCUGGGUUCA
rnacentral:piRNA from 1 species